rnacentral:sRNA from 1 species
GACCGCCGCCGUCAGGCGGCCAAGGCCACACGGACAGCCGGGUCGAAUGCCGA